AGUCUCUGGAAUCUGAUCGAACGAGGUGACAGCACUAUCUCAAAUUUCGCGGUGGAAUGAUGGUGUUGGUUACGUCUGUGCGCGAUUACAUAAACCGGAUGUUCAGGCAUGAAGGUAAGCAAUGUGAGCAUUGUGUAUUCACAGUCAGAGCUGCUUCAGAAAGAAGUGUUCUUGUGGAAUCAAUGUCGCAUCUGAAAGCUGUUUAUUUCAUCCGCCCUACUUCGGAGAACAUUCAGAAGCUUCGAUACCAGCUUGCCAACCCUAGAUUUGGAGAACACCAUUUGUUUUUCUCCAAUUGAAGGAUACUCAGAUUCAUAUCUUGGCUGAUUCUGAUGAGCACGAGGCUGUACAACAAGUUCAGGAGUUUUAUGCAGACUUUGUUGCUGGUGAUCCGUACCAUUUGACAUUGAAUAUGCCAUCAAACCACCUCUGGUUUGCAGCGCUACUCCGAUAGGGUUGUUGAUGGAACGGCGGGGGUGUUUCUGGCGUUGAAACUUAGACCUGUCAUCAGAUACCAGAGGACCUAUGAUACUGCAAAAAGGAUUGCACACGAAACAGCUAAAUUGAUGUAUCAGCAUGAAAGCGGUCUUUUCGAUUUUAGACGGACUGAAAGCUCUCCGUUGCUGCUUGUAAUUGACAAAAGAGAUGACCCGGUUACCCCAUUGCUUAAUCAGUGGACAUAUCAGGCAAUGGUGCACGAACUCAUAGGACUUGAGGAUAAUAAAGUUGACGUGAGAGCCAUUGGAAGUCUUUCAAAAGAUCAGCAAGUUCAGGAGGUGGUUUUAUCAUCAGAACAAGAUGCAUUCUUCAAAGCUAACAUGUAUGAAAAUUUUGGGGAUAUCGGAAUGAACAUCAAGCGAAUGGUCGAUGACUUUCAGCAGGUGGCCAAGAGUAACAAAAAUAUCCA